rnacentral:misc_RNA from 1 species
GAACGCACCUUGCGCCCUUUGGCUAUUCUGAAGGGCAUGCCUGUUUGAGUAUCGUGAACACCUCAACUCUCAUGGUCUGCCAUGAUGAGCUUGGACUUUGGGGGUCUUGCUGGCCUGCUGUCAGCUCCUCUCAAAUGAAUCAGCUUACCAGUGUUUGGUGGCACCACAGGUGUGAUAACUAUCUACGCUUGUGGUUUUCUGCCAGGUAACCUCCAGUGAUGGAGGUUCGCUGGGGCUCACAAAUGUCUCUCCUCAGCGAGGACAGCUUUUUGAACGUUUGAUCUCAAAUCAGGUAGGACUACCCGCUGAACUUA